rnacentral:lncRNA from 1 species
CCACGCCUGGGCACGUCCCAUCGCUCCGGCGUUUCCAGCACACAGCGGUGGAGGAAGAGCUGUGGUACGAACCACAAGAAUAAAGCACGCAGCCAGCAGCAAGUUUGACCAACACCAAAUGAAUGGGUCCAGCUGCAAGGUGCCAAAGGGCAGGAACGACCCAACGAGCGUGAAAGAUGAAGUUUGAAGAAGUUGUAUGACAAAGGAGAAGAGGGAGGUUUUUCAGUCAUCGGGGAAGAUGAUGAAGCUGGAAAGAGAACGCAGUGAGGAGUCAGCAUAUGUGAGAUGCCAUCUGCUUGGAAUCCUUUGCUUGACAUUGACAUGGGACACUUCAUUGCCAGGGGACAAAGUUACUUUGCCUGUUCUGCCAGUUUUUCUUCUGAACUAGCCCUGUAAACACUAAUAAUCUCGACACAGCCUGGAGCAACAAGAGGAGUGCAAUCACAAAAGGUCAUAUACUACAAUCUGAGCAUGAAGUUUUAUAGUUCUGCAAUGAAGCCCCAGCUUUUUCUGAGUGACAAGCUUUGUAAUAAAUUUAUCUGGGGAUUUAACA